AGAGUUUGAUCCUGGCUCAGGAUGAACGCUAGCGGCAGGCUUAAUACAUGCAAGUCGAGGGGGAUUAUCUUUGUAGCAAUACAGGGGUAUGAGACCGGCAGACGGGUGAGGAACACGUACGCAACUUUCCCAAAACUGGUGAAUAGCCCUCCGAAAGGAGGAUUAAUACACCGUAACAUAACGAGGUGGCAUCAUUUUGUUAUUAUAGGCUUCGGCCGGUUUUGGAUGGGCGUGCGCCUGAUUAGGUAGUUGGCGGGGUAACGGCCCACCAAGCCUGCGAUCAGUAACUGGUGUGAGAGCACGACCAGUCACACGGGCACUGAGACACGGGCCCGACUCCUACGGGAGGCAGCAGUAAGGAAUAUUGGUCAAUGGACGAAAGUCUGAACCAGCCAUGCCGCGUGAAGGAUGAAGGUCCUCUGGAUUGUAAACUUCUUUUAUCUGGGACGAAAAAAGGGAAUUCUUUCCCACUUGACGGUACCAGAGGAAUAAGCACCGGCUAACUCCGUGCCAGCAGCCGCGGUAAUACGGAGGGUGCAAGCGUUAUCCGGAUUCACUGGGUUUAAAGGGUGCGUAGGUGGGUCUGUAAGUCAGUGGUGAAAUCUCCGAGCUUAACUCGGAAACUGCCGUUGAUACUAUAGGUCUUGAAUCAUCUGGAGGUAAGCGGAAUAUGUCAUGUAGCGGUGAAAUGCUUAGAUAUGACAUAGAACACCAAUUGCGAAGGCAGCUUACUACGGAUGUAUUGACACUGAGGCACGAAAGCGUGGGGAUCAAACAGGAUUAGAUACCCUGGUAGUCCACGCCCUAAACGAUGGAUACUCGACAUUUGCGAUAUACUGUAAGUGUCUGAGCGAAAGCCUUAAGUAUCCCACCUGGGCAGUACGACCGCAAGGUUGAAACUCAAAGGAUUUGACGGGGGUCCGCACAAGCGGUGGAGCAUGUGGUUUAAAUCGAUGAUACGCGAGGAACCUUACCUGGGCUAGAAUGCGUUUGACCGUGGGUGAAAGCCUCAUUUUGUAGCAAUACACAGCAUCGGAAAGCGCUGCAUGAGCUGGCCGU
rnacentral:rRNA from 1 species